UUUGUUUGUUUGUUUGUUUGUUUGUUUGUUUGUUUGUUUGUUUGCUUGUGUUUGUUUGCUUGUGUUUGUGUUUGUUUGUUUGUUUGACUGUUUGUUUAGUAUUUAUAAUAUUUCUGUUCCUAGGGAGGAAAAAGAAGCUGCUCGACAACUUCAAAUACAAAUGAAGGAAUUGCAAAUACGAGAGGAAGAGGUAGUCUAAAUUUUGAAUAUCUUAUCUUCUGUUAAGGCCUGAUUCCACGACUCCACGAGCGCUUUUUCUCGGCGAAAUGCACGAAAUGAAAUCGUGCAUGCGCAGUAAAGAUGAAUUAGGCUUCGCGAGAAAAAAGUUCGCUUCGCCAGUGAGUAGAAGUCAGUUCUAUUCGCUGCGAAAGCGAAAAAAAAAAUCAAAUUCAAUAGAAUCACUCAUGUGCAGCCAUUCAUAUUUCGCAGACACGAUUUUGCGCGAAGAAUUUCGCCGUCGUGGAAUCAGGCCUUUAGCCUGCUCAGCAGCCCCCACCCGAAAAUUUGAAGCGCUUAGAACGAAAUUUCGGACUGCGUGCAGGCUAACCUUCUGUCUAGUCAUUGUCAUGGAAAACCCGAAUAAAUAUAAGUUGUGAAAGAAAAUAACUUUGUCAAUUAAAACUUGCUCGUCUGAGUGACGUUUGACGCCAUACUGAGUUGGUCACUGAUGAGCAAAAUAUAGGCCACUGAGUUGGUCACUGAUGAGCAAAAUAUUCUAACGUCAAAGGGAUUUCUUGGUCUUUCAUUUUGAACAUGUGUUUUGUCUACUUUGAAGGCUGCCAUGUUGAAACAAGAACAAGAGAGACUUGAAAAUGAACAGAGGAGAAUCGAUGAAGCGGUAAGUAUCGUAUGGGUGUCAUAUGGCUAGAUUGACGAAUGGAUUGAUGAUUGUUUAAUAAAUAAAAACUAUUUUGUGGCUACAAAAUACUUCUAUUUAUUUAACAGGAAGAAAAAAGAAAACUAUUUGAUGAAGAAAGGAAAAAGAGAUCUCAUGGGUACGCAUGUACAACGUUUACACCAACUUUUUUCUCUCGUGUAAAGUAUUGUGUGCACCGACGUCAGCACCUCCCGCCUUAUAUUUACAUGUCACGAAAUAUAGUAGCCACCAGUCUCCUAUAUCAGGAACUAGACUCAGUUCCGAAAUAUCACAUACUCGAACCGACCUGACCGCGUAGCUCAGUUGGCAGAGCAUUGGGCUAGUAUUCCAAAGGUCGUAGGUUCGAUUCCCACCGUGGCCAGGCAUAUUUUUCAAGCUUGUCCGGUGUGGAUAUACACUCA